GUGCUCGCUUCGGCAGCACAUAUACUAAAAUUGGAACAAUACAAGAGAUUAGCAUGGCCCCUGUGCAAGGAUGAAAAAUCAAAACAAAGUGAAACUGAUUAAUCCUUUUUU